UAGGAAUCUUAGCUGCCUUUGUUGUGUUCUUGAUAUUUGACAAAAGCAAGAAGAAUUAGAUCAUUUAGUUCAUGCAGUAUUUGGUCUAGCAUUGAUGGGAGAACAUCCAACUCUUAAUUAAAAAAACAACGAUGGGGCGUGCAGCAUCAUUCACUCAUUGGAGCCUCACUUGAGAGAAGUUGUGUUUACAUCCUGGAGUUGCUAUAUAGUAAG
rnacentral:misc_RNA from 1 species